CGGAGCGGAGCGGAGCGCGCGGAGGGAGGAGUUUUCCCAGAAUGGGACUGACGGGAAAACACGGGGAUCCCUAUUCCUGGAGGGAUCCAGCCUGGUGCCUGGGAUAGGGAAGUGCAUGAUAAAUGCUGCAUAAAUGAAAAACAAUUGCUACCGUGGAAGAUAUUGAAAGGAAAGUGCUAUCGAUGCCAAAGUUGUUUCCAAGAGAGGUAUUCCAAAAGUGUUUCAAGCAAUGACUGAGCUAAGCAUCCAGUCCUGCAAGGUGAAGGCGUUGAAGACGCAGCCCUCAUUUGAAUAGAUGAAUUGUGGUAUUCUUGUUAAAUAAUG
rnacentral:lncRNA from 10 species